GACGAACGCUGGCGGCGUGAUUAAAACAUGCAAUUCGAAAGGAGUGGCGAACGGGUGAGUAACACGUGGGUGAUCUGCCUUGCAAUUCGGGAUAAGCUUUGGAAACUGGGUCUAAUACCGGAUAGUGCAAGAUGAGCUCGGGGCCUAUCAGCUUGUUGGUGGGGUAAUUGCCUACCAAGGCGUCGACGGGUAGCCGGCCUGGGAGGGUGUACGGCCACAGUGGGACUGAGAUACGGCCCAGACGCCUGCGGGAGGCAGCAGUGUGGAAUAGUGCACAAUGGGCGGAAGCCUGAUGCAGCGACGCCGCGUGGGGGAUGAAGGCCUUCGGGUUGUAAACUCCUUUCGACAGGGACGCGGUACCUGUAUAAGAAGCACCGGCUAACUACGUGCCAGCAGCCGCGGUAAUUC
rnacentral:rRNA from 1 species